GGCUCUCAACAGACACCGAGUCUGCUGGAAGCUCUUGGACCUCCAGCCUCCAGAACUGAAGCCAUAUAUUGCAAAUGCACAAUAAUUUUAUACCACACGGUAUGCGUGUCUGGAAGAAGGCAUGCAGGGGAGGAAAAACUGAUCCAAGACAUUGCUGAGAACCCCUGACCUUGCUCCUUACUACACAACGGCUGCAAGCCUUCAUUAAAGACAAUGGUUACAGUUGUGAAAUCGGACUGAACUCAACUUGGCCAACUACAAGAGAGAGAGUACAUGUGAGCAGUGGAG